rnacentral:rRNA from 1 species
UACGUAGGGGGCGAGCGUUGUCCGGAUUUAUUGGGCGUAAAGAGCUCGUAGGCGGCUUGGCAAGUCGGGUGUGAAACCUCCAGGCUCAACCUGGAGACGCCACUCGAUACUGCCAUGGCUAGAGUCCGGUAGGGGACCACGGAAUUCCUGGUGUAGCGGUGAAAUGCGCAGAUAUCAGGAGGAACACCGGUGGCGAAGGCGCCACUCUGGGCCGAAACUGACGCUGAGGAGCGAAAGCGUGGGUAGCAAACAGG